UAAAACACCAAGACAACCAGCAAAUGAUCGCUCCCUCGCUCUCAGUUUAAGUGGAACGUGUUCCGAUUCGGAUCUCUGAGGGGCGUUCAUCAAAGAGCUCUUCAGUGACACUUCAGUGAUGAAAGAGCAUCUCUUUAUCCUUUUCUUGUUUACAGGAUUCAUUUCCUUCACCCUCUCUAUCCCUCGUAAGUAUUAUCUGAUCCACCAGGGAAAAAGAUGGAGUGAUGCUCAGACCUACUGCCGAACUACACACACUGACCUGGCCACCAUAGAAGACGCCAAAAACAUGGUUCGAGUCCAAUAUGUCACUCAGAGUAAAAUUUUUAAUUCUAGUGCUUGGAUUGGGCUUUCAAAUGAUGUCAACAGCUGGCACUGGUCAAUGGGAAAUCAACCACUUGGAAGCUUUUAUAUGUGGUUUGCCCCAAAUCCUGACAACUGGAAUGGAGUAGAAUCUUGUGGUGCAAUAGCACCAUGGGGUUGGAAUGAUUCUCCAUGUUCUAAACUGCUUCCUUUUGUCUGCUAUAAUGGUAAGGAACAACAAAUUACCUGCUUGGUCAUUUUUUAAUGGAGAAUUGUGUUCAAAAAGAAAUGAUAGGUGUCUUUAGUGUUCUCAUUGACAUUAAUCCUCUUUUAAAGUGCUUCAAGAUUAAACAGUGAAUUAAGUGAUGUAUUUACAUUCAGUUCCAUAUCUGUUUAUUUCUCAGUGCAUUGGACUGAGUAGUUUAGAGUAAAAUAAAACUAGUAGAAUAUUUUUAAAUACUAAUAUUUCUGUCUGAAUGCAUUGUGGAGGCCAAUUAAAAUUCUUCAGUUAAAGAAUUUGGUAAUGAUGACAGAAUGAUCCUAAUAAUGACUGGCAAGAAAGUAUUUCCUACCAGACAGUAUUACGUUCUAAUCUACAGUAGUGUAGUAAAUAGGGGUGUAACAGUAUAUGUAUUUGUACCAAACUUUUUCAGUACAGGGCUUUCGGUUCAGUGCACACAUACCUAAUGUAAUCAUUUUUAUGUGCAGAACAUAGUAACAAACUAAGUUCCCUCAGGAGCGUAUUAAGUGGCCGACCACAAGUUUGUUAAGUCUCCACUUCGCACUUUGAGCACAUUUUAUUAGUUAUUAUUGAACUUGAAAUCAUACGUAACAAUCCCUUUGGUAUAAAAAGGAAUAGAGUUAGCGCAGUGUAUCUGUGGCUACUUACUCUGUACCGCAAAUAAGAUUUGAAGUGCAAUGUUUUGCCCAUGCGUGAAAUCGCUCCCACUUCCUGCUAUUGCUAACUCAAACACUACAGAUUCUUUGCCGUUCGAUGUGCAGCUUCAAGAAUUUCUCUUUAAUGGAGAAAAUCGUGACAAUUUCACGUAAUUAAUUUCCAUCUUCUCCCGAGAUGGCACCACAGAUGGCUUCCUCAGUGUGGAGUUUUCCAGUUGCUUUACUAUUUUUGUUACAAUUACAGUACAUUUACAGCAUUUAGCAGACGCCCUUAUCCAGAGCAAUGUACAAAAGUGCUUUCG